GAUGAACGCUGGCGGCGUGCUUAACACAUGCAAGUCGAACGGUGAAGGCGGAGCUUGCUCUGCUGGAUCAGUGGCGAACGGGUGAGUAACACGUGAGCAAUCUGCCCCUGACUCUGGGAUAAGCGCUGGAAACGGCGUCUAAUACUGGAUACGAGCUGUGAAGGCAUCUUCAGCAGCUGGAAAGAAUUUCGGUCAGGGAUGAGCUCGCGGCCUAUCAGCUUGUUGGUGAGGUAAUGGCUCACCAAGGCGUCGACGGGUAGCCGGCCUGAGAGGGUGACCGGCCACACUGGGACUGAGACACGGCCCAGACUCCUACGGGAGGCAGCAGUGGGGAAUAUUGCACAAUGGGCGAAAGCCUGAUGCAGCAACGCCGCGUGAGGGACGACGGCCUUCGGGUUGUAAACCUCUUUUAGCAGGGAAGAAGCGAAAGUGACGGUACCUGCAGAAAAAGCGCCGGCUAACUACGUG
rnacentral:rRNA from 1 species